rnacentral:rRNA from 1 species
CGCGUAGGCGGCCUGCUAAGUCUGGAGUGAAAGUCCUGCUUUCAAGGUGGGAAUUGCUUUGGAUACUGGUGGGCUGGAGUGCAGGAGAGGAAAGCGGAAUUACCGGUGUAGCGGUGAAAUGCGUAGAGAUCGGUAGGAAUACCAGUGGCGAAGGCGGCUUUCUGGCCUGAAACUGACGCUGAGGCGCGAAAGCGUGGGAGCAAACA